GACGAACGCUGGCGGCGUGCUUAAUACAUGCAAGUCGAGCGAAAAGACGAUGAGCUUGCUCCUCUGACGUGAGCGGCGGACGGGUGAGUAACACGUGUAUACCCUACCUAUAAGACUGGUAUAACUUCGGGAAAGCGGAGCUAAUACCGGAUAAUAUAUUGAACCGUGUUGUGCAAUAGUGAAAGACGGCUUUUCUGUCUCUUAUAGCUGGAUCCGCGCCGCAUUAGCUGGUUGGUAAGGUAACGGGUUACCAGGGCAACGAUGCGUAGCCGAGCUGAGGGGCGGGUCGGCCACACUGGAAGUGAGCCAGGGUCCAGAGUCCUACGGGAGGCAGCAGUAGGGAAUGUGAGGCAAUGGGGGGAAGCAUGACGGAGCGACGCCGAGUGAGUGAUAAAAGUCUUGGGAUCGUAAAACUCUGUUAUUGGGGAAAAACAAAUGUGUAAGGAAAUAUGGAGGGCGUGACGGUAACUAAUAAGAAAGCAACGGCUAACUACGUG
rnacentral:rRNA from 1 species